GGGAGGAGAAAGUGGCGAAGACGACGUUGGGGAAAGAGACGGAGAGGGGAAAAAGAUCGGUGGGAGAGAAGAGCAUGAAACAGGGAACGAGGUGGGGAGACGGGAAGAAAAAGGCAGAAAGACGGACUGAGAGAGAGGACAGUGGUGGGGGAGAAGAAGGCAGCGUAGGAGAAGAGUUUGGGGGAAAAAGAAACAGAAGUGAUGCUAACAUUUAAACGUCGUCUUGGAGCAAAGGAAGCAAGUGCUGCUUUAGAGUCCCGGCCUAACUUUGUUCAAUGAAGUCCCACUUCCAAAUAUUUUGCGAUUGCAGUGUGGGUCAUUUUUAGUACUUAGAUCCAGAGCAGUCUCGGAUUGUUAAGUGACAGUGCUGUAAAACUGCAUGCUGUUCACCAGCUGUAAACGAAAACAUCACAUUUCCUUGAAGUGCACUUUAAUAUGUAAUUCAAAGACUUUUCCUAGAGGCUCAUUGGGGAAAAAAUAGAGGUGUAUACCUUUGGCAUUGAACAUGUCUCUGAUUUUAGACUGCAUUUGUUUCCCCCAAAUCUUUAAGAUUGUGGCUGAAACAUGACUGUGAAUACGGCAUUCAUUUUGUGGGGCAGUGCAUAUUAUUUUAGCAAAGAUAGGAUAAACUGAUAAGCCUAUAAGA